rnacentral:rRNA from 1 species
AUUGAACGCUGGCGGCAUGCUUUACACAUGCAAGUCGAACGGUAACAGGCCGCAAGGUGCUGACGAGUGGCGAACGGGUGAGCAAUGCAUCGGAACGUGCCCAGUCGUGGGGGAUAACGCAGCGAAAGUUGCGCUAAUACCGCAUACGAUCUAUGGAUGAAAGCGGGGGACCGUAAGGCCUCGCGCGAUUGGAGCGGCCGAUGUCAGAUUAGGUAGAUGGUGGGGUAAAGGCUCACCAAGCCGACGAUUUGUAGCUGGUCUGAGAGGACGACCAGCCACACUGGGACUGAGACACGGUCCAGACUCCUACUGGAGGCAGCCAUGGGGAAUUUUGGACAAUGGGCGCAAGCCUGAUCCAGCAAUGCCGCGUGAAAGAAGAAGGCCUUCGGGUUGUAAACUGCUUUUGUCAGAGAAGAAACGAGUUUCUAUAAUACAGAGACUUAAUGACGGUACCUGAAGAAUAAGCACCGGCUAACUACGUGCCAGCCGCCGCGGUAAUAC